rnacentral:rRNA from 1 species
GAUGAACGCUGGCGGCGUGCCUAAUACAUGCAAGUCGAGCGAACAGACGAGGAGCUUGCUCCUUUGACGUUAGCGGCGGACGGGUGAGUAACACGUGGGUAACCUACCUAUAAGACUGGGAUAACUUCGGGAAACCGGAGCUAAUACCGGAUAAUAUUUCGAACCGCAUGGUUCGAUAGUGAAAGAUGGCUCUGCUAUCACUUAUAGAUGGACCUGCGCCGUAUUAGCUAGUUGGUAAGGUAACGGCUUACCAAGGCAACGAUACGUAGCCGACCUGAGAGGGUGAUCGGCCACACUGGAACUGAGACACGGUCCAGACUCCUACGGGAGGCAGCAGUAGGGAAUCUUCCGCAAUGGGCGAAAGCCUGACGGAGCAACGCCGCGUGAGUGAUGAAGGUCUUCGGAUCGUAAAACUCUGUUAUUAGGGAAGAACAAACGUGUAAGUAACUGUGCACGUCUUGACGGUACCUAACCAGAAAGCCACGGCUAACUACGUG